GGUGCCUUCGGGAACUCGAACACAGGUGCUGCAUGGCUGUCGUCAGUCGGGCGUGAGAUGUUGGGUUAAGUCCCGCAACGAGCGCAACCCUUGUCCUUAGUUGCCAGCACGUAAUGGUGGGAACUCUAAGGAGACCGCCGGUGACAAACCGGAGGAAGGUGGGGAUGACUUCAAGUCAUCAUGGCCCUUACGGCCAGGGCUACACACGUACUACAAUGGUAGGGACAGAGGGCUGCAAGCCGGCGACGGUAAGCCAAUCCCAGAAACCCUAUCUCAGUCCGGAUUGGAGUCUGCAACUCGACUCCAUGAAGUCGGAAUCGCUAGUAAUCGCAAAUCAGCAUUGCUGCGGUGAAUACGUUCCCGGGUCUUGUACACACCGA
rnacentral:rRNA from 1 species